CAGAACUUCUCGGAAAUGGCGCCACAGAAAGUGGCAAAGAUGCACCCACCCACAGCUCGGUGGUCAACAGAGACCGGGGUGUGGGGCUGCCGGGAGCGGCCAGGCAAGGGCAAGUGCGUCCAGGAGGGAGGAAGCUAAGCGCGGCGGAGGAGGCGGCGGCCUGGCUGUUCUAGCCCACCUGGCAGAUGGAAGCUCUGAGGUGGGCAAGGAUUUUCCGGCUGUCCAUGCCUCGCUGGAGGAGGUAGCUGCCGCACACCUGGAGGGAGGAGACAGUUCACACGUCCCGACAGGCCUCAGCCACGGCUGCACCGUCCCCGUGUCACUGGGUCCCCAUCUGAAAAAGCUCAGGGCUGCCAGGAGGGUUUCCUGUUUGUUCUCACCGACACCCAACUACAGGCCCCGGACAAGCCUUUCUUAGAGCAUUUCCUGAAAAGGGCUCACAGUCGGCCACUGUCCCCCAGGCUCCCUGGGAGGGCAGAAUCCCAAACCCAGCGUUGGCCACAGACCUGGUAGCCUCGUCGCCUGGACACUGGCAGCCCUUGGUCACGUUCGCCUGAGCCCCACGCUCCCUGCCCCCGGCCACUCCUGUCCUCCCUUUAUAAGCUCAGGCCUUGUGCACAUGGGAACUGAGCUCAGCUUCCCCAGCUCUCAGUAGUUACUGAAUAAAAUCUGCUUUCACUGCUUGGCAGACGCCCAGCCGUGUCUAGAUCUCAUCCUCC
rnacentral:lncRNA from 10 species